AGCGAACGCUGGCGGCAGGCCUAACACAUGCAAGUCGAACGAACAUUCCGGGGUUAGUGGCGGACGGGUGAGUAACACGUGGGAACGUGCCCUUAGGUUCGGAAUAACUCAGGGAAACUUGUGCUAAUACCGAAUGUGCCCUUCGGGGGAAAGAUUAAUCGCCUCUAGAGCGGCCCGCGUCUGAUUAGCUAGUUGGUUGAGGUAAUGGCUCAUCAAGGCGACGAUCAGUAGCUGGUCUGAGAGGAUGAUCAGCCACAUUGGGUCUGAGACACGGCCCAAACUCCUACGGGAGGCAGGAGUGGGGGAUCUUGCGAAAUGGGCGAAGGCCUGACGCAGCCAUGCCGCGUGAAUGAUGAAGGUCUUAGGAUUGUAAAAUUCUUUCACCGGGGACGAUAAUGACGGUACCCGGAGAAGAAGCCCCGGCUAACUUCGUG
rnacentral:rRNA from 1 species